UACGAAGGGGGCUAGCGUUGUUCGGAAUUACUGGGCGUAAAGCGCGCGCAGGCGGCUAUCCAAGUCAGUGGUGAAAGCCCGGAGCUCAACUCCGGAACUGCCAUUGAAACUGUUUAGCUGGAGUAUGAGAGAGGUGAGUGGAAUUCCCAGUGUAGAGGUGAAAUUCGUAGAUAUUGGGAAGAACACCGGUGGCGAAGGCGGCUCACUGGGCUCAUUACUGACGCUCAUGCACGACAGCGUGGGGAUCAAACAGG
rnacentral:rRNA from 1 species